GGGGCGCUGGCGCAACUGGUAGCGCGUCAGAUUCCAGUCCUGAAGGUUAUCCGUUCGAGUCGGGUGUGCCUCA